UCUCCCGCCUGCGAGCGUCAGUCCGAACUGCUUGCUGCCCUCCCCGCCAGGCGCCCCCCGCAGCAUGGUCUGGAACACCAAUCUCCGCUGGCGGCUGCCAGUCACCUGCUUGCUCCUGCAGGUGGCCCUGGUGGUCCUCUUCGGCGUGUUUGUGCGCUACGACUCCGACGCUGACCCUCACUGGACCAACAGAAAGAUGCAAGAGAACUUCACCAGCGACCUGGAGAACGAAUUCUACUACCGCUACCCGAGCUUCCAGGACGUGCACGUGAUGAUCUUCGUGGGCUUCGGCUUCCUCAUGACUUUCCUGCAGCGCUACGGUUACAGCUCUGUGGGCUUCAACUUCCUGCUGGCGGCCUUCGGCAUCCAGUGGGCGCUGCUCAUGCAGGGCUGGUUCCACUCCUACUACCAAGGCUACAUUCACGUGGGCGUGGAAAACCUCAUCAAUGCCGACUUCUGCGUGGGCUCUGUCUGUGUGGCCUUUGGGGCAGUUCUGGGCAAAGUCAGCCCCGUCCAGCUACUCAUCAUGACUCUCUUCCAAGUGACCCUCUUUUCAGUGAAUGAGUACAUCCUCCUCAGCCUGCUAGAGGUAAAGGACGCAGGGGGCUCUAUGACCAUCCACACAUUUGGCGCCUACUUUGGGCUCACAGUGACCUGGAUCCUCUACCGACCCAGCCUACAGCAGAGCAAGGAGAGACAGAGCGCUGUGUACCACUCGGACCUCUUUGCCAUGAUUGGCACCCUCUUCCUGUGGAUGUACUGGCCCAGCUUCAACUCAGCUGUGUCCAACCACGGAGAUGCCCAGCACCGAGCUGCCAUCAACACCUACUGCUCCUUGGCAGCCUGCGUGCUCACCUCGGUGGCGCUGUCCAGCGCCUUGCACAAGAAGGGCAAGCUGGACAUGGUGCACAUCCAGAACGCCACGCUCGCAGGAGGGGUGGCCGUGGGGACGGCCGCUGAAAUGAUGCUCAUGCCUUAUGGCUCCCUCAUCGUUGGCUUCAUCUGCGGCAUUGUCUCCACCCUGGGUUUUGUGUACCUGACGCCGUUCCUGGAGGCCCGGCUGCGGAUCCAGGACACAUGCGGCAUUCACAACCUGCAUGGCAUUCCCGGCAUCAUCGGCGCCAUCGUGGGGGCCGUGACGGCGUCCUGUGCCACCAGUGAUGUGUAUGGAGUAAACGGGUUUGCCCUUGCCUUUGGCUUUGAUGGUUUCAAGACUAACUGGAACGCAAGCAUGCAGGGCAAGUUUCAGGCUGCUGGUCUCUUUGUGUCCCUGGCCAUGGCCCUGGUGGGCGGCAUCAUCGUGGGGAUUAUUUUGAAGUUGCCAUUCUGGGGGCAACCUGCUGACGAGAACUGCUUUGAGGAUUCUGUCUACUGGGAGAUGCCUGAGGAGCCAAAGAGCACGGUCUUGCACCCUGAGGACUCUACCCUCAAGCCCUCAGAACCUUAAACUCCCAGGGCAGGUGAGAAGCAGCUCACCUUUCCUUGCUCCUCUGUGGAAUGCACCAAGCCCCGCCUUUUGCAUCUCACCCUCCAGAGAGCUCGACACGACAGGCUCCACAGACUGUCCCGGCGCUCCCAAAGGAGCAGUGCUGACCAAGCUGGGAACACAAGAGCAAGGCGAGCAGCACCCCACCUACUGGCCUGGCCCAGGGUGCCUCUCUUUCCUUCCCCUUCAUCCCAGGGGGCCUGCCUGAGAAUAGAGGAGGAAGAGCUAUAGACAAAGUGGGCAUCCAAGCCAGGCUCUGGCUGCAGGAGGCCUGCCUCCAGGGCUCUUGGUGGCCACAUCCUGGGAAAAGCAGGCAGGAGUGGGGCUGGGAGCUGGCAGUGGACCCGAGCCCUCCUUAGGAGACAACGCAGCUGCCAGCCACCAACUGCUGGGCUCCUCCACUCCCUGCCUGCCCCUCGGCCAGCACCUCCCUUGCUCCCUGCGUCCCCCAGACCACUCUGUGCCGUGCAGAUGGUGGCCUCCGUGAAUAAACGUUCUUGGUGUUCUUUG